rnacentral:lncRNA from 1 species
UUGCUACGCAGGCCAAAUUACAGAGAAAGAAAAGCAGAAACAAUGGUAACAAUACAAGUCGCCGGCGGCGGCUACAAACCACAAAGUGCACCCGUUAGAAAGAGAAGCGGUUGAAUCCUACUACUAUUCGUGUGAGGAAACAUUUUAUUUCCGAAUCUCUUUACAAGAGCCAGAUCGUGUUCAGGUGAGAGGACAAAGAGAAACAAUAAUAUUGUAACUGAUGAUCAGGUUCAAGCGUCUGAUAAUCCUAAAAAGAUAGAAUAGUUGAUGUUGCUAUAGAGCAGCCUACAACCAACGGUAACAAUAUUUUUCUUUCAAGCUUCAAUUUGUUGU